AAAUUGAAGAGUUUGAUCAUGGCUCAGAUUGAACGCUGGCGGCAGGCCUAACACAUGCAAGUCGAACGGCAGCGGGGGAAAGCUUGCUUUCCUGCCGGCGAGUGGCGGACGGGUGAGUAAUGUCUGGGGAUCUGCCUGAUGGGGGGGGAUAACUACUGGAAACGGUAGCUAAUACCGCAUAACGUCGCAAGACCAAAGUGGGGGACCUUCGGGCCUCACGCCAUCGGAUGAACCCAGAUGGGAUUAGCCAGCAGGUGAGGUAACGGCUCACCUGGGCGACGAUCCCUAGCUGGUCUGAGAGGAUGACCAGCCACACUGGGACUGAGACA
rnacentral:rRNA from 1 species